rnacentral:tRNA from 1 species
GGUCGCUUAGCUCAGCUGGUCCAGAGCGCUCGCUUCACACGCGAGAGGUCAUAGGUUCAAAUCCUAUAGCGACCA